rnacentral:rRNA from 1 species
CUGAUAAAUUAUUAAAGGGCUGCAGUAUAUUGACUGUACAAAGGUAGCAUAAUCAUUAGUCUCUUAAUUGGUGACUUGUAUGAAAGAUUGGAUGAGAUAUAGACUGUCUCUAUAUUAAAUUAAGAAUUUAAUUUUUUAAUUAAAAAGUUAAAAUAAAUUUAAAAGACGAGAAGACCCUAUAGAGUUUUAUAUUUUAAUAAUUAAAAUUAUAUAUUAAAAUUAUAAUUAAAAUUAAUAAGAAUAUUUUGUUGGGGUGACAGAAAAAUAAAAUUAACUUUUUUUAUAGAUAAUACAUUAAUAAAUGAGUAUAUGAUCCAAAAUUUUUGAUUAUAAGAAAAAAUUACCUUAGGGAUAACAGCGUAAUUUUUUUUUUUAGUUCUUAUAAAAAAAAGAGUUUGCGACCUCGAUGUUGGAUUAAGAUAAAAUUUAUAUGCAAAAAUAUAAAAUUUUGAUCUGUUCGAUC